GUAGUCUGACCGAGCACGCCGCGUGAGUGAAGAAGGUUUUCGGAUCGUAAAACUCUGUUGUAGAGAAGAAAAGGAUGAGAGUAACUGUUCAUCCCUUGACGGAUCUAACCAGAAAGCCACGGCUAACUACGUGCCAGCAGCCGCGGUAAUACGUAGGUGGCAAGCGUUGUCCGGAUUUAUUGGGCGUAAAGCGAGCGCAGGCGGUUUCUUAAGUCUGAUGUGAAAGCCCCCGGCUCAACCGGGGAGGGUCAUUGGAAACUGGGAGACUUGAGUGCAGAAGAGGAGAGUGGAAUUCCAUGUGUAGCGGUGAAAUGCGUAGAUAUAUGGAGGAACACCAGUGGCGAAGGCGGCUCUCUGGUCUGUAACUGACGCUGAGGCUCGAAAGCGUGGGGAGCAAACAGGAUUAGAUACCCUGGUAGUCCACGCCGUAAACGAUGAGUGCUAAGUGUUGGAGGGUUUCCGCCCUUCAGUGCUGCAGCUAACGCAUUAAGCACUCCGCCUGGGGAGUACGACCGCAAGGUUGAAACUCAAAGGAAUUGACGGA
rnacentral:rRNA from 1 species